rnacentral:rRNA from 1 species
AUACGUAGGGGGCUAGCGUUAUCCGGAAUUACUGGGCGUAAAGGGUGCGUAGGUGGUUUCUUAAGUCAGAAGUGAAAGGCUACGGCUCAACCGUAGUAAGCUUUUGAAACUAAGAGACUUGAGUGCAGGAGAGGAGAGUAGAAUUCCUAGUGUAGCGGUGAAAUGCGUAGAUAUUAGGAGGAAUACCAGUUGCGAAGGCGGCUCUCUGGACUGGAACGGACACUGAGGCACGAAAGCGUGGGGAGGAAACAGGGUUAGAUGCCCUGGUAGCCCACGCCGUAAACGAUGAGUACUAGAUGUCGGGGGUUACCCCCCUCGGUGGCGCAGCUAACGCAUUAAGUACUCCGCCUGGGAAGUACUCUUGCAAGAGUGAAAAUCAAAUGAAUUGUCGGGG